rfam:Camelus ferus unplaced genomic scaffold scaffold372, whole genome shotgun sequence.
GAGGGUGGAGCUCAGUGGUGGAGCAUGUGCUCAGCAUGCACGAGGUCCUGGGUUCAAUCCCCAGUAGCUCCA